GUUCACGGGAUACAUUAGGUUUGAUACAUUUCACAUAGCGGGAUACAUAGCAUUGUGCACGGGAUACAUAGCGUUGUGCACGGGAUACAUAGCGUUUGAUACAUUCCACAUAGCGGGAUACAUAGCGUUGUGCACGGGAUACAUGCGGGAUACAUAGGUAAAUAAGGGAUUUUUGAAAUUUUUGAAAUAAGUAGGGAUAAAUGGAUAUUAA
rnacentral:lncRNA from 1 species